rnacentral:rRNA from 1 species
CACGUAGGGCGCGAGCGUUGUCCGGAAUUAUUGGGCGUAAAGAGCUCGUAGGCGGUUUGUCGCGUCGGCUGUGAAAACUCGGGGCUCAACCCCGAGCCUGCAGUCGAUACGGGCAGACUAGAGUGCUGUAGGGGAGACUGGAAUUCCUGGUGUAGCGGUGAAAUGCGCAGAUAUCAGGAGGAACACCCGUGGCGAAGGCGGCUCUCUGGGACGGUACUGACGCUGGGACGCGAAAGCGUGGGGAGCGAACAGG